rnacentral:misc_RNA from 1 species
GAAGUUUUAGCACUUACACUAAAGGCAAUGCAUAGCCUAUUACAUGCUUGUUCAUUCAGGACUCCUCACAUUUCAAGAGUUUUAAAAAUCAAUUAAUUUGGAUGUUUGAAAGAUAUUCAGCCUGACCGCAUAAAGCAAGUUGGUCUUUUUCUUCCAUCCCAAUGGUAUAAAACAAACCUCAAUGAAGUUUUACGCAGUUGAUACCAUCGACAAAAUUUACUGUCCAUUUUCUUAUUUCGUUUGCCUCUUUUUCCUGGAUGAGACUUGAAAUAGUCCAAAAACUAUACAAAAAAAAAGAUCUUAAAUAAUGACCAGAUUAAGAUGGCUCACAAUUAUGGCAGUCAAAAGAACAUUUAUAUGUUAACCCAAUGGAAUAUAUAAUAGAGAAAAAUAAAAACAUAAAGAUAAAUC